UUUGGGUUUCUUAAUGUUUAGUGUUUAGGCAUAAGAUUUAGGGUUUAGAGUUUAUUCCCUAAGGUAUAGGGUUUCUUAGGGUUUAUGAUUUAUCGUUUAGGGUUUCUUAGGGUUUAGGGGGGUUUAGGAUUAUUUUUUUAGGGUUUAUGGGUUUGUUUAGUGUUUUGUAGAUUUAGGGUUAUUUAUAAUUAGGGGUUUUAAAGGUUUUCUAGGGUUUCUUAGGGUUUUGGAUUUCUUAAGGUUUAGGGUUUUUUAGGAUUUAGGGAAUAUGAUUUUAUGUUUAGGGUUUUUUCUAAGGUUUAGGGUUUUAAAGGGUUUCUUAGGGUUCUUAGGAUAUUUUAGGUUUCAGGUUUUUAAAGGUUUAUAGAGUUUUUUUAGGGUUUAGGUUUUCUUAGGGUUUAGGGUUUCUUAAUGUUUCAUAAGGCUUGGGGUUUAGGGUUUAUCCCUAAGGUUUAGGGUUACUUAAGGUAUAGGGUUUAGCGUUCCUUAGGGUUUGGAGUUUUAGUUUUAG
rnacentral:lncRNA from 1 species